AGAGUUUGAUCCUGGCUCAGGAUGAACGCUAGCGGCAGGCCUAACACAUGCAAGUCGAGGGGUAACAGGAGAGCUUGCUCUCGCUGACGACCGGCGCACGGGUGAGUAACGCGUAUGCAACCUACCUUUAACAGGGGGAUAGCCCGAAGAAAUUCGGAUUAAUACCCCAUACAACUAUAGAUAAGCAUUUAUUUAUAUUUAAAACUCCGGUGGUUAAAGAUGGGCAUGCGUGACAUUAGAUAGUUGGUGAGGUAACGGCUCACCAAGUCUACGAUGUCUAGGGGGUCUGAGAGGAUGGUCCCCCACACUGGUACUGAGACACGGACCAGACUCCUACGGGAGGCAGCAGUGAGGAAUAUUGCGCAAUGGAGGAAACUCUGACGCAGCCAUGCCGCGUGCAGGAUGACAGCCCUACGGGUUGUAAACUGCUUUUAUACAGGAAGAAUUUUCCGCACGUGUGCGGGAUUGACGGUACUGUACGAAUAAGCAUCGGCUAACUCCGUGCCAGCAGCCGCGGUAAUACGGAGGAUGCAAGCGUUAUCCGGAUUUAUUGGGUUUAAAGGGUGCGUAGGCGGGGUAAUAAGUCAGUGGUGAAAUCCUGCAGCUUAACUGUAGAAUUGCCAUUGAUACUGUUAUUCUUGAGUUCGAUUGAGGUAGGCGGAAUGUGUAAUGUAGCGGUGAAAUGCUUAGAUAUUACACAGAACACCGAUUGCGUAGGCAGCUUACUAAGUCGACACUGACGCUGAGGCACGAAAGCGUGGGGAGCGAACAGGAUUAGAUACCCUGGUAGUCCACGCUGUAAACUAUGAUCACUAGCUGUUGGCGAUACAUCGAUCAGCGGCAAAGCGAAAGCAUUAAGUGAUCCACCUGGGGAGUACGGUCGCAAGAUUGAAACUCAAAUGAAUUGACGGGGGCCCGCACAAGCGGUGGAACAUGUGGUUUAAUUCGAUGAUACGCGAGGAACCUUACCUGGGCUUAAAUGCAGAUUGACGUUUCGGGAAACCGAAAUUCUCUUCGGAGCGAUUUGCAAGGUGCUGCAUGGUUGUCGUCAGCUCGUGCCGUGAGGUGUCGGGUUAAGUCCCAUAACGAGCGCAACCCCUAUCGUUAGUUGCCAGCGGAUCAUGCCGGGGACUCUAACGAAACUGCCGAUGAGAGGAAGGUGGGGAUGACGUCAAAUCAGCACGGCCCUUAUGUCCAGGGCUACACACGUGUUACAAUGGUCGGUACAGAGGGCAGCUACCUGGUGACAGGAUGCUAAUCUCGAAAGCCGGUCUUAGUUCGGAUCGAAGUCUGCAACUCGACUUCGUGAAGCUGGAAUCGCUAGUAAUCGCGUAUCAGCAACGACGCGGUGAAUACGUUCCCGGGCCUUGUACACACCGC
rnacentral:rRNA from 1 species